CUGCCCACUUGUGAGCAAGAGAAUUGGAAAUGGUUUGGGGGUGUCCUAUCUGAGUGAACAUUGGACACCACGGUUUUCAGUACAACA
ensembl:scaRNA